rnacentral:rRNA from 1 species
UCCGGUGACAAUGGCAUAGGGGGUACACCCGAUCCCAUCCCGAACUCGGAAGUUAAGCCUUAUUGCGCCGAUGGUACUGCACGGGAAACCAGUGUGGGAGAGUAGGACGUUGCCGGUA